GAUGAACGCUGGCGGCGUGCCUAAUACAUGCAAGUCGAGCGAACAGACUAGGAGCUUGCUCCUCUGACGUUAGCGGCGGACGGGUGAGUAACACGUGGAUAACCUACCUAUAAGACUGGGAUAACUUCGUGAAACCGGAGCUAAUACCGGAUAAUAUAUUGAACCGCAUGGUUCAAUAGUGAAAGACGGUUUUGCUGUCACUUAUAGAUGGAUCCGCGCCGCAUUAGCUAGUUGGUAAGGUAACGGCUUACCAAGGCAACGAUGCGUAGCCGACCUGAGAGGGUGAUCGGCCACACUGGAACUGAGACACGGUCCAGACUCCUACGGGAGGCAGCAGUAGGGAAUCUUCCGCAAUGGGCGAAAGCCUGACGGAGCAACGCCGCGUGAGUGAUGACGGUCUUCGGAUCGUAAAACUCUGUUAUUAGGGAAGAACAAAUGUGUAAGUAACUAUGCACGUCUUGACGGUACCUAAUCAGAAAGCAACGGCUAACUACGUG
rnacentral:rRNA from 1 species